rnacentral:rRNA from 1 species
GACGAACGCUGGCGGCGUGCUUAACACAUGCAAGUCGAACGGAAAGGCCUGCUUUCCCUUGUGGAUUGCGGGUACUCGAGUGGCGAACGGGUGAGUAACACGUGAGUGAUCUGCCCCCAACUUGGGUAUAAGCCUGGGAAACUGGGUCUAAUUCCCGAUAGGACUGCAGGGUGGUGCCUGUGGUGGCAAACGAUUUUCUAGUGGUUGGGUAUGAGCUCGCGGCCUAUCAGCUUGUUGGUGGGGUAAUGGCCUACCAAGGCGGCGACCGGUAGCCGGCCUGAGAGGGUGGACGGCCACAUUGGGACUGGGAUACGGCCCAGACUCCUACGGGAGGCAGCAGUGGGGAAUAGUGGACAGUGAGCGGAAGCCUGAUGCAGCGACGCCGCGUGGGGGAUGACGGCCUUGGGGUUGUCAACUCCUUGCGACCGCGAGGAAGCCACCUGGUUGGAAGGGUGGUGACGGUAGUGGUAGAAGAAGCACCGGCUAACUACGUG